CGCUGGCGGCGUGCUUAACACAUGCAAGUUGAACGGUUCAGCCUAAGCAGCAAUGUGAGGGUUGGAUAGUAGCGGACGGGUGAGUAACGCGUGAGUAACCUACCUUUGUGAGGGGGACAACAGCUGGAAACGGCUGCUAAUACCGCAUAAGGCCACGACCUCGAUUGAGGAUGUGGUAAAAGAUUUAUCGCACAAAGAUGGACUCGCGUCCCAUUAGCUAGUUGGUGAGGUAACGGCCCCACCAAGGCGACGAUGGGUAGCCGACCUGAGAGGGUGAUCGGCCACACUGGAACUGAGACACGGUCCAGACUCCUACGGGAGGCAGCAGUGGGGAAUAUUGGGCAAUGGGCGCCAAGCCUGACCCAGCAACGCCGCGUGAGGGAAGAAGGUCUUCGGAUUGUAAACCUCUGUCCUUGGGGACGAAAAAAUGACGGUACCCAAGGAGGAAGCUCCGGCUAACUACGUGCCAGCCGCCGC
rnacentral:rRNA from 1 species